AUACGGAGGGUGCAAGCGUUGUUCGGAAUCACUGGGCGUAAAGGGCGCGCAGGCGGUUUGGUAAGUCAGAUGAGAAAGCCCACGGCUCAACCGUGGAAGUGCAUUUGAAACUGUCAGACUUGAGUACUAGAGGGGAAAGUGGAAUUCCCGGUGUAGAGGUGAAAUUCGUAGAUAUCGGGAGGAAUACCGGUGGCGAAGGCGACUUUCUGGCUAGAUACUGACGCUGAGGCGCGAAAGCGUGGGGAGCAAACAGGAUUAGAUACCCUAGUAGUCC
rnacentral:rRNA from 1 species